GGCGGCCUUGUGCUGUAGAAGAACUGCCCGUGGAAGUGGCCCCGUCUCCAGGAUAUUUUCAUGUUGGGAGCUGUGGCUAACUCCCAGGGGGGACAGGGAGACCAGCAGAGCCGUCCAGGCAGGAGAGGGGCCCUGUGGAGGGGCCGCCUGGGGCUUGAGGGCCAGUGCAGGCUCUUUCAGGGAAAGGAAAGGCGGGCCUGAAUCUCUGCCCUUCUGCGCCCCAGAUUCAGUCCUCAGAGAGGAGGAGGAAGAAGCCGGUGGAGGUCACAGGACCCUGGUGCUUUCCCAAGUGGCCCUGCAUGGCUGUGUCUCUCGUUUCUGGGGAUCUGUGAGGAUACACUGCUUCUCUCAUGACCCUCAUUUCCGUGGCCAUACCUGAUGGAAAGAAAUGGCAGGAGAAGACAGCCACCAUGCAGAUUGGAAAAUGUGGACGAGGAGAAAAGGGGUGUACGACACUGGACAGUUUUGGGUCUUACGUUGAAGUCUUUAAUCCAUUUUGAGUUAAUUUUUUGGCAGAGAUGCACCUUUAUGUUUUGCAUAUUCUCCAAGCUUCCUGCCGACCCGCCUGCUCUCCAUUCCUGCUCUCUCACUAGUUCCUUGACCUGUGAUCUCCUGAUCUGAUUUUCUGCUGGAAUCACAGGAUCUGGCCCUUUCCCUCUCUCCACCACACUCCUGCACUGCACUGACCCAGCCUGGCCCACCUCUGGCCAAUCCUCCACAGACUGAGGUCUCUCAUGGGGAACUGAGGUCACUGUUUGCUGCCUCACGCUGCUUCUGGCAUCAAAGUCUCUUGGAUGUGAUUUCCAAGGUCAUCUCCUCUCCUCUCCUGCCUCCUCCACCAGCACCAAGCUUCCUACAGCUCCUGGAAUGGUUUCCUCCACCCACAAGGGAAGUUCAAGAUCCUGAGGAAGCCGCUCUUCUGACCCUCUGUCCAGUUCAGAAAGAGCCGGUUCACGUAAUCCUUGUGAAUGGAAGGCGGCC